GUGGGGAAUCUUGCGCAAUGGGCGAAAGCCUGACGCAGCCAUGCCGCGUGAAGGAUGAAGGCGUUAUGCGUUGUAAACUUCUUUUGUAUGGGAAGAAUGACAGGGAUUUAUCCUUGGAGAGACGGUACCAUACGAAUAAGCACCGGCUAACUCCGUGCCAGCAGCCGCGGUAAUACGGAGGGUGCAAGCGUUAUCCGGAAUCACUGGGUUUAAAGGGUACGUAGGCGGUUAAUUAAGUCAGUAGUGAAAGACUGUCGCUCAACGACGGAUGUGCUAUUGAUACUGGUUAACUUGAAUCAGGUUAGAGUUGGCGGAAUGGGUCAUGUAGCGGUGAAAUGCUUAGAUAUGACUUGGAACACCGAUAGCGAAGGCAGCUGACUGAGCCUUGAUUGACGCUGAGGUACGAAAGUGUGGGUAGCGAACAGGAUUAGAAACCCGUGUAGUCC
rnacentral:rRNA from 1 species